CCUACGGGAGGCAGCAGUAAGGAAUCUUCCACAAUGGACGAAAGUCUGAUGGAGCAACGCCGCGUGCAGGAUGAAGGCUUUCGGGUCGUAAACUGCUUUUAUAUGGGAAGAUUAUGACGGUACCAUAUGAAUAAGGACCGGCUAACUACGUGCCAGCAGCCGCGGUAAUACGUAGGGUCCAAGCGAUAUCCGGAAUUACUGGGCGUAAAGCGUGUGUAGGUGGAUUAAUAAGUGUGAUGCGAAAUCCGGCGGCUCAACCGUUUGGACUGUGUCGCAUACUGUUAGUCUAGAGGACGGCAGAGGUAAGUGGAAUUACGGGUGUAGCAGUGAAAUGCGUAGAUAUCCGUAGGAACACCAAUGGCGAAGGCAGCUUACUGGGGCCACACCUUGACACUGAGACACGAAAGCGUGGGGAGCGAACAGGAUUAGAUACCCUGGUAGUCCACGCCGUAAACGAUAGCAUACUAUAGUAGUAGGUAGUCGUACCCGUCGUGUCUGAGAGACGUACGACGAGUAGUAGUAGCGCCGUCGGGAGGUACGAGCGCGAGAACGUAAACGUACGUUAAAGAAGUAGUUAGGCGUGAGACGNGCGACGGACGACGACGAGGGAGGAGG
rnacentral:rRNA from 1 species